rnacentral:rRNA from 1 species
UGAGCAAUCUGCCCUUCACUUCGGGAUAACUCCGGGAAACCGGUGCUAAUACCGAAUACGACCACUUCAGGCAUCUGAUGGUGGUGGAAAGUUCCGGCGGUGAAGGAUGAGCUCGCGGCCUAUCAGCUUGUUGGUGAGGUAACGGCCCACAAGGCAACGACGGGUAGCCGGCCUGAGAGGGUGACCGGCCACACUGGGACUGAGACACGGCCCAGACUCCUACGGGA